CUUUUUCAUGGCUGAAUAGUACUCCAUUGUGUCAAGCAAGAACAGACAUUCAAUGAAUGAAUGCAUUUCUUCAAAGCCCACAAUCCAAGUGAAUAGCAGGAUUCAUCUAUUCAUUCAAGAUGUUUCCUGGAUUCCAGCUCCAUGGAAACUUUUGAGGUAUUAAGCAAGCAAAUAAAAUGCUUUAAGUCUUUGGCUGG